UUCAGAUAACUAGCAUUAGUAAGGGAUUGUUGCUGCAGGAACGAUUUUGCGGUUAAAGGCUAAAGAUUACGUCAACGCAGGAGGCUGACUGGCAAAUCAUUGCGUGGGGACAUACCAAUUGGAAAGGAAAGAUGAAGCCAAUGCUACAUUCAUGCAGUCGUAAAGCAUUAGUACUGAUCUCAAGGUAUGAUACUACAAUCUUAGAGGCACUUGUGCUAUGAGAAAGACAGCUACAAGUCUACAAGGGCUUUCUUUUCGAAUGUUGCAAUGUUCUGAGCCAACGUAAAGCAAUCAGUUGUAACUAGAAUGGUAUUUUCACUGCCUAGCUGAGUGAUAGAUCAUUCAAGCGAUGGAUUAAAAUGUCAGUAUACAUGUGCUGUAAGA